rnacentral:rRNA from 1 species
GACGAACGCUGGCGGCGUGCCUAAUACAUGCAAGUCGAGCGAACGGACGAGAAGCUUGCUUCUCUGUUGUUAGCGGCGGACGGGGGAGUAACACGUGGAUAACCUACCUAUCAGACUGGGAUAAAUUCGGGAAACCGGAGCUAAUACCGGAUGAUAUUUUGAACCGCAUGGUUCAAAAGUGAAAGACGGUCUUGCUGUCUCUUAUAGAUGGAUCCGCGCUGCAUUAGCGAGUUGGUAAGGUAACGGCGUACCAAGGCAAGGAUGCAUAGCCGACCUGUGAGAGUGAUCGGCCACACUGGAGCUGAGACACGGUCCAUAGGCCUACGGGAGGCAGCAGAAGGGAAUAUUCCGCAAUAGGGGAGAACCUGACAUAGCGAGGCGGAGUGUGAGGUAAAGAUCUUCGGAUCGUGAGACUCUGUUUUUAGGGAAGAACAUAUGUGUAAGUAACUGUGCACGGCUUGACGGUACCUAGUCAGAAAGCCACGGCUAACUACGUG